GCGCGGUAAAUUUCCAUCUUUAAUUAAACCUCACUUCUUCAAGAGACGAAUGACGAUUUUAUAAAAGUGGUUAUCUUGGUAGACUUGUCUGCCAUAUUUUUGGCAUCUCCACUUUCAAUUUUGGUAUGGGAGUUUGGCAAAUGCAAUGGCUUUCCCAGGAACCCGUCUCUCAUUUGGACGCUUUUGUUGAAAUACUUCACAAUAGAUUCAAGAAUUGUACCUUUACGCAACGGAGUCAGUUCUUGCUUUCUUUUCACUGCAACCCAGUAAGAAGUAACUAGUUUCUUAAUGGACUCUAACUUUUCUAUUUGCUUCACGAUCUUUUCGGGACGUGACAACAAAGGCUGAGCAAGGCCUUCGAGACGUUUCUUACGUAAGCUUUCUAAGAGCUGUACUGAUUUUUCUCUUGAUUUCUCCAUCUUUUCAGCCCUUUUGUUAACAGCAGCCAUUGCAGAUGUGUGGAACAGGAAAGACCUCGCAUAGUUCAAAGGAAACAUUCUUUGCAAGGAUCUAUCUUUGCCAGAGUUCGUACAUGUACAUGUAUAAAGCCGGUAAAACCCAUUGAUUCCCAGCACGUGAACAGGUCGGAAAUUUGUAAACAGUGACCUCGUUGUCCUUUUUAGCAUCAAAUUUCGCCCGCCCGAUCAAUUACAUUGAAGUUUCUUGAUUUCCCGUACACUACAUACCAUACUGAAAGGCAUUUUCUGCUAGUAUACGGGUGUAAACUGUACAAUAUCAUAACGUCCGAAACCCGGGGUCCGAAAACAGCCGCCAUUUUGGUCUAGAUCUCAGUCUAGCCGGUUAUGUUCGUCGUUUAAGCUCCGGAAGCUCGGAAUUCUUCCGGAGAACUUCGGAUUUCGAUCGUGCUCAUAGUAGUCUGGGACGGAGAAAUUGCACCACAACACAGGUGGGACGUCGCAACACGCGACCGGCGCCUGAGUGAGAAUGAUUUCUCACUCUACAAGUACGAUGCGCGGAAACUGUUCGGUUUAAAGAUGCACAUGUACCUCAUCAACUUGCAGUUGCUUUUAAUGAAAGUAUUUUAACAUACGAGAUAAAUAAGAUAUUUCAUCCUUGACGGCCUCGAUUUUGGGUCACAGUGAUUUUAAAUAAACAAAGGAAAGGAUUUUAAAUUGUACUCAUGGAAGGGCAUAUUCAAGAAGGUUCAAACAGCUCCACAGAUCAACCAGAGAAUUUCAAUGAUGUUGGGUGGGCUUCAUUUCCUGAGAUCAACGAGAAAGAACCUGUGAGAAGGAGGCAAAAUCCUGAGGAUAGAACCAAUUUUCUCUCAAAG